rnacentral:rRNA from 1 species
AGAGUUUGAUCCUGGCUCAGGAUAAACGCUGGCGGCGUGCGUAACACAUGCAAGUUGAGCGACGACGUUCUGAAGUGGAGACAUGGAAGGGCGAGCGGAGCAGCGGACGGGUGAGUACAACAUGAGAAGCUGUCCUGAAGUGGGGGACAACGUCUGGAAACGGACGCUAAUACCCCAUAGGCCGAGAGGUUAAAGCCGUAAGGCGCUUUAGGAGGUGCUCGUGUCCUAUCAGCUAGUUGGUGAGGUAAGGGCUCACCAAGGCGACGACGGGUAGCCGGCCUGAGAGGGUGUACGGCCACACUGGGACUGAGAUACGGCCCAGACUCCUACGGGAGGCAGCAGUGGGGAAUAUUGGGCAAUGGGAGGAAAUCCUGACCCAGCGACGCCGCGUGAACGAAGACGGCCUUAGGGUUGUAAAGUUCUUUUAUGUGGGAAGAAGGAAGUGACGGUACCACAUGAAUAAGCCCCGGCUAACUACGUGCCAGCCGCCGC